GUCGAACGCUUUGUGCUUAAUUGAUAUGACGAGCUUGCUCUGAUUUGAUUUUUUGAUUUCAAAGAGUGGCGAACGGGUGAGUAACACGUGGGUAACCUACCUCUUAGCAGGGGAUAACAUUUGGAAACAAGUGCUAAUACCGUAUAAUACCAACAACCGCAUGGUUGUUGGUUGAAAGAUGGUUCUGCUAUCACUAAGAGAUGGACCCGCGGUGCAUUAGCUAGUUGGUAAGGUAAUGGCUUACCAAGGCAAUGAUGCAUAGCCGAGUUGAGAGACUGAUCGGCCACAAUGGGACUGAGACACGGCCCAUACUCCUACGGGAGGCAGCAGUAGGGAAUCUUCCACAAUGGGCGCAAGCCUGAUGGAGCAACGCCGCGUGUGUGAUGAAGGGUUUCGGCUCGUAAAACACUGUUAUAAGAGAAGAACGGCACUGAGAGUAACUGUUCAGUGUGUGACGGUAUCUUACCAGAAAGGAACGGCUAAAUACGUGCCAGCAGCCGCGGUAAUACGUAUGUUCCAAGCGUUAUCCGGAUUUAUUGGGCGUAAAGCGAGCGCAGACGGUUAUUUAAGUCUGAAGUGAAAGCCCUCAGCUCAACUGAGGAAUUGCUUUGGAAACUGGAUGACUUGAGUGCAGUAGAGGAAAGUGGAACUCCAUGUGUAGCGGUGAAAUGCGUAGAUAUAUGGAAGAACACCAGUGGCGAAGGCGGCUUUCUGGACUGUAACUGACGUUGAGGCUCGAAAGU
rnacentral:rRNA from 1 species